GAUUCUGGCUCAGGACGAACGCUGGCGGUGUGCUUCAUACAUGCAAGUCGAACGAUAAGGUCCCUUCGGGGAUACAUAAGUGGCGGACGGGUGAGUAACACGUAGAAAAUCUACCUCGAGGAAGGGGACAACAGUUGGAAACGACUGCUAAUACCCUAUAUGAGCUGGGCUGAAACGCCUAUCUUGAAAGUUCCGGCGCCUUGAGAUGAGUCUGCGUCUGAUUAGCUAGUUGGUGGGGUAAAUGCCUACCAAGGCGACGAUCAGUAGCUGGUUUGAGAGGAUGACCAGCCACAAUGGGACUGAGACACGGCCCAUACUCCUACGGGAGGCAGCAGGUAGGGUAAUUUUGCGCAAGUCGGGGGGAAAAACCCCUGACGCAGCAACACCGCGUGAACGACGAAGCCCGUUCGGGGUGUAAAGUUCUGUCAGUAGGGACGAAUUUUGACGGUACCUACAAAGGAAGCAUCGGCUAACUACGUGCCAGCCGCCGC
rnacentral:rRNA from 1 species